rnacentral:tRNA from 1 species
GGGAAUGUAGCUCAGUGGUAGAGUGCUUGCCUAAUAUGCAUGAAGUCCUAGGUUUGAUUCCUCAGUUCCA